AGAGGAAGAAGAAGAAGAAGAAGAAGAAGAAGAAGAAGAAGAAGAAGGAGAAGGAGGAGGAGGAGGCUAUUGAAAUAAUCCAGGACACAGAAGGAGAAUGGAAAUUCUGUUAAGGUUGCAAAUAUGGUGGUUUUCUGCCUUCUCUCCACGACAAUGGAAUAUGAACCAAGGAAAAGCCAUAUGAGGACACAUGGAUAAGGUGGCCUUCUGCAAGCCAGGAAGUGUCUCUCCCAGUCACCAAAUCUGCCAGCACCUUGAUCUUGGACUUCCCAGCUUCUAAAACUGUGAGGAAUAAAUGUCUGUUGUUCAGGCCACUCAA